UAAAUACUAUUAUUCCCAGGGGCAUCUGUGUGGCUCAGUCGGUUAAGCAUCCGACGCUUGGUUUUGGCUCAGGCGGUGAUCUCAGGGUCGUGAGAUCGAGCCCGGCAUCAGCAUCGGCUCCAUGCUCAGGAGUCUGCUUGAGAUUCUCUCCCUCUGAACCCCUCCUGCGCUCACUCUCUCAUGCACGUGUGCUCUCUCUCUCUCAAAUAAAAAUGGAUAAAUCUUUUUUAAAAAUACGAUUAGUCCCAUUUUAUUAUAGACGAGGAAACAGAGGCCCCAGUGAGUAAAACUUAGCUCGAAGAGCAAAGGCAACAGGCCAGCUCUUAUCCCCAGCCCAGGGCCCAGGACUCUUCUUUGUAAGACAUAAAACAGGCCGAGACUCUGAGCAGAGAAGCCUCCGAAUAUUACAGCAGAGGAGAUUUGCAUGUACCACGUGGCCAGGCCUCCGCAUCCAAGUUCAUAUUUCCAGGUCAGAGCGCCUUCUGGGGAGGAAGGCGGCGGCCUCCCAGCUCCGGUCUCCUUAAGUGCACCCUGGGAAGUCUUCACACUGCCUUUCUUUUCCCCCGGUGGUCUAAUCUGGAGUCAGAUCCAGCCGCUGGCUCCUACAGCCGGGGAAGGACUGCGAGCCAACAGGAAAACAACAGUUACCCUUAUCACGCUGACCCGGAGGACCUCUGUGCGUGACAUUCCAUGUCCCUGCCUCAAAUUCUGCAAACGUGCUUUUAGGUGUUGAUGGGACAGGCUCUCCGGUUGUUCUUAAAAAAAGAUGUUACUUCUCUCCUUUACACCGCUUUCCACAAGGAUGACUUGAAAUUUCUUUUAAAGAAGAGUUCUUUCAGGAUAUGCGGGGAGAGGUAUUAAAAUGUGUUCUUCUAGAGCUCCAGGGACAUGUAGAAUUUCAGCAUUUGGUCCUCACGGAAGCAGUGAGAAUGUAUUUCUGUUAGAUCACCCUGAGUUUGAAAAAAAAAAAAAACAAAAACCCAAACACCCAGUCUGUUUGAGCUCUGUCGCCAAUAGCCUAAUCAACCUUUUAUUAGUAAAAAGGAAUCUGAAAAAUACUCAGAUGCCCUCUGAUUUUUGUUUCCUUUUUUUUUCUUUCUACAUUUCUCCACGCACACAAAAAGAGUCAGAAGACAAAUGUGGACUUGGAAAUACUCUUAAGUAGUCAAGUUUAUUAAAAUCAGAUCCAAAUGACAUUUAUUAAAAAAUACAAUAGGGACGCCUGGGUGGCUCAGCCGUUGAGUGUCUGCCUUCGGCUCAGGUUGGGACCCUGAGGUCCGGGAUCGAGUCCCGCCUCCAGCUCCUUGCAGGGAGCCUGCUUCUCCCUCUGCCAGCGUCCCUGACUCUCUCUCUGUGUCUCUCAUGAAUAAAUAAAUAAAAUCUUUAAAAAAAUAAGAAAUA
rnacentral:lncRNA from 12 species